rnacentral:lncRNA from 1 species
UUUAGAAUUUAGGAUUUAGUUUAGAAUUUGAUUUAGGAUUUAAGAUUUGUUUAGGAUUUGGUUUAAAGAUUUAGAAUUUAUCUAGGAUUUGAUUUAGGAUUUAAGAUUUGACUCAAAUUUGGUUUAGGAUUUAGGAUUUUUUAGGACUUAGGAUUUGCCUAAGGUUUGGUUUAGGAUUUGCCUAAGGUUUGGUUUAGGAUUUUGGAUUUAAAAUUUGUUUAAGAUUUGAUUUAGGAUUUAAGAUUUAGUUAGGAUUUGACCUAUGAUUUAAAUAAGGUCCAUUAGAAUUUCAAUUAAGAUUAAAAUAAGAUUUGGUUA